rnacentral:rRNA from 1 species
UACGAAGGGGGCUAGCGUUGUUCGGAAUUACUGGGCGUAAAGCGCACGUAGGCGGAUUGUUAAGUUAGGGGUGAAAUCCCAGGGCUCAACCCUGGAACUGCCUUUAAUACUGGCAAUCUCGAGUCCGAGAGAGGUGAGUGGAAUCCGAGUGUAGAGGUGAAAUUCGUAGAUAUUCGGAGGAACACCAGUGGCGAAGGCGGCUCACUGGUUCGGUACUGACGCUGAGGUGCGAAAGCGUGGGGAGCAACAGGAUUAAGAUACC